AAAUAAAUAAUAAACACGAACUGCAAAUAUUUCGUAAUUUAAACAUUGCGAACAUUUUUAUCAUGAAAUUUAACCAUUUGUUGGGACAUAUUACGUAUACGCCGCAUGUGUGAGCUACACAUUUGAAAAUUCGCGAAAACCAAAGAAAUGGAAUCUCCACAAAUAUUUUGUUUGUAUUUUUAUGAAAAAGAUUAUAAUGGAAUUAAUUACGUAUACGCACAGGUGGACAUGAUAAUAUGUAUAUAGAAGACUGUCUGUUCAAUUAAUGGCUGUUCCAGUGCUUAUGUUUAUGUUUGUUUUUUUGUGUUUAUUUUUAAAUAUCUGAAGACAUUGGCAAACAUUAUUGUACUAA